rnacentral:miRNA from 1 species
AUGAGAAUCACCUGGGGAUCUUGUUAAAAAUGCAGAUUCUCAUUCAGCAGGACUAGGGUGGAGGCAGAAAAUUUACAUUUCUCACAAGUUCCCAGCAGAUGCUGAC